CUGAAAAACUCUGCUAAUCACACGGCUCUAGGGCCGGUGACAUAUCUUUCGCGUGUCUGCCCUAUCAACUUUCGAUGGUUGAUUAUGUGCCUACCAUGGGCGUAACGGGAAACGGAGAAUAAUGGUUCAACUCCAGCUAGGGAGCCUGAUAAAUGGCUACCACAUCCAAGGAAGGCAGCAAGCGCGCAAAUUACCCACUCUCAACUCGAGGAGGUAGUGACGAAAAAUAACAAGACGGUUCUCUUUGAUGCCCGUCAUCGGAAUGGAAACAAUCUAAACCCUUUAACGAGGAUCUAUUGCAGGGCAAGUCUGGUGCCAGCAUCCGCGGCAAUUCCAGCUCCAAUAGCAUAUACCAAUUCUGCUGCUGUUAAAAA
rnacentral:rRNA from 1 species